rnacentral:tRNA from 1 species
GGUAGAAUGGCUGAGUUGUAAGGUGAUAAACUGUAAAUUUAUUUAGGAGAAUUAAAUCUCUUCUACCA